ACGCUGGCGGCAUGCUUUACACAUGCAAGUCGGACGGCAGCACAGAGAAGCUUGCUUCUUGGGUGGCGAGUGGCGAACGGGUGAGUAACAUAUCGGAACGUACCGAGUAAUGGGGGAUAACUAAUCGAAAGAUUAGCUAAUACCGCAUAUUCUCUGAGGAGGAAAGCAGGGGACCUUCGGGCCUUGCGUUAUUCGAGCGGCCGAUAUCUGAUUAGCUAGUUGGUGGGGUAAAGGCCUACCAAGGCGACGAUCAGUAGCGGGUCUGAGAGGAUGAUCCGCCACACUGGGACUGAGACACGGCCCAGACUCCUACGGGAGGCAGCAGUGGGGAAUUUUGGACAAUGGGCGCAAGCCUGAUCCAGCCAUGCCGCGUGUCUGAAGAAGGCCUUCGGGUUGUAAAGGACUUUUGUCAGGGAAGAAAAGGCUGUUGCUAAUACCGACAGUUGAUGACGGUACCUGAAGAAUAAGCACCGGCUAACUACGUGCCAGCAGCCGCGGUAAUACGUAGGGUGCGAGCGUUAAUCGGAAUUACUGGGCGUAAAGCGAGCGCAGACGGUUACUUAAGCAGGAUGUGAAAUCCCCGGGCUCAACCUGGGAACUGCGUUCUGAACUGGGUGACUAGAGUGUGUCAGAGGGAGGUAGAAUUCCACGUGUAGCAGUGAAAUGCGUAGAGAUGUGGAGGAAUACCGAUGGCGAAGGCAGCCUCCUGGGAUAACACUGACGUUCAUGCUCGAAAGCGUGGGUAGCAAACAGGAUUAGAUACCCUGGUAGUCCACGCCCUAAACGAUGUCAAUUAGCUGUUGGGCAACUUGAUUGCUUAGUAGCGUAGCUAACGCGUGAAAUUGACCGCCUGGGGAGUACGGUCGCAAGAUUAAAACUCAAAGGAAUUGACGGGGACCCGCACAAGC
rnacentral:rRNA from 1 species